rnacentral:rRNA from 1 species
AUUGAACGCUGGCGGCAUGCCUUACACAUGCAAGUCGAACGGCAGCACGGGAGCAAUCCUGGUGGCGAGUGGCGAACGGGUGAGUAAAGUAUCGGAACGUGCCCAGUCGUGGGGGAUAACGUAGCGAAAGUUACGCUAAUAACGCAUACGAUCUAUGGAUGAAAGCGGGGGAUCGCAAGACCUCGCGCGAUUGGAGCAGCCGAUAUCAGAUUAGGUAGUUGGUGGGGUAAAGGCUCACCAAGCCGACGAUCUGUAGCUGGUCUGAGAGGACGACCAGCCAGACGGGGACUGAGACACAGCCCAGACUCCUACAGGAGGCAGCAGUGGGGAAGUUUGGACAAUGGGCGAAAGCCUGAUCCAGCCAUGCCGCGUGCAGGAUGAAGGCCUUCGGGUUGCAAACUGCUUUUGUACGGAACGAAAAGGUUUGGCCUAAUAAGCUGAGCUCAUGACGGUACCGUAAGAAUAAGCACCGGCUAACUACGUGCCAGCCGCCGCAGUAA